rfam:Dialister sp. CAG:486 genomic scaffold, scf376
CUUUCAUCAUGAGUGGCGGAGGGACUGGCCCUUUGAAGCCACGGCAACCAUCUUUAUGAAACGGUGCCAAUUCCAGCGAGUGUAUUCUCGAAAGAUGAUGC